AGGAAUAUUGGUCAAUGGGCGGGAGCCUGAACCAGCCAAGUCGCGUGAGGGAAGACGGUCCUACGGAUUGUAAACCUCUUUUGCCGGGGAGCAACGGGGUCCUUGCGAGGGCCCAAUGAGAGUACCCGGAGAAAAAGCAUCGGCUAACUCCGUGCCAGCAGCCGCGGUAAUACGGAGGAUGCGAGCGUUAUCCGGAUUUAUUGGGUUUAAAGGGUGCGUAGGCGGGCUGUUAAGUCAGCGGUCAAAUGUCGGGGCUCAACCCCGGCCUGCCGUUGAAACUGGCGGCCUCGAGUGGGCGAGAAGUAUGCGGAAUGCGUGGUGUAGCGGUGAAAUGCAUAGAUAUCGCGCAGAACCCCGAUUGCGAAGGCAGCGUGCCGUGCCGCCACUGACGCUGAGGCACGAAAGCGCGGGGAUCGAACAG
rnacentral:rRNA from 1 species